rnacentral:rRNA from 1 species
ACGCACGCUGGCGGCAUGCCUAACACAUGCAAGUCGAACGAGACCUUCGGGUCUAGUGGCGCACGGGUGCGUCACACGUGGGAAUCUGCCCUUUGCUUCGGAAUAACAGUUAGAAAUGACUGCUAAUACCGGAUGAUGUCGAAAGACCAAAGAUUUAUCGGCAAAGGAUGAGCCCGCGUAGGAUUAGGUAGUUGGUGGGGUAAAGGCCUACCAAGCCGACGAUCCUUAGCUGGUCUGAGAGGAUGAUCAGCCACACUGGGACUGAGACACGGCCCAGACUCCUACGGGAGGCAGCAGUGGGGAAUAUUGGACAAUGGGCGAAAGCCUGAUCCAGCAAUGCCGCGUGAGUGAUGAAGGCCUUAGGGUUGUAAAGCUCUUUUACCAGGGAUGAUAAUGACAGUACCUGGAGAAUAAGCUCCGGCUAACUCCGUG